rnacentral:tRNA from 1 species
GCUUGGGUGGCGGAAUUGGCAGACGCGCUCGUUUCAGGUGCGAGUGGCUUAACGGCCUUGUGGGUUCAAGUCCCACCCCAAGCACCA